GCCCCUGUGCAACAGAUGAGAAACUCAAGCUUGGAGAAGCGACAUGAGCUGCUCAGGCCAUGGAGCCAUUACAUGCUACGUGACUUUCCUCUUCUGUAACGGCUUGCAAUGACGUUUUUAAGGAAAACGCUCCACACCCUGAAAACACACACACAAGGAGCAACUGCAAAAGCUUAAACUGGGCACAAGGUUGACAAAGCAGUGAACAAAUAUGACUCAGGUCCAGAGGGACUAGAAAUGACUCAGGCACAAAGGUAA